UACGUAGGGUGCAAGCGUUAAUCGGAAUUACUGGGCGUAAAGCGUGCGCAGGCGGUGAUGUAAGACAGGUGUGAAAUCCCCGGGCUUAACCUGGGAACUGCAUUUGUGACUGCAUCGCUGGAGUGCGGCAGAGGGGGAUGGAAUUCCGCGUGUAGCAGUGAAAUGCGUAGAUAUGCGGAGGAACACCGAUGGCGAAGGCAAUCCCCUGGGCCUGCACUGACGCUCAUGCACGAAGGCCAGGGGAGCAAACGGG
rnacentral:rRNA from 1 species